UUUAAGUACAACUAUAAAUUUUCGUACUCAACUUUGAUCAACCGUCUUAUUUGAAAUUUUUUUAUAAUUAGUAUUUUUUGUUGUUAUGAGAUAAUAAAACAUAAAUAUUACUUUACUCGUGACUUAUGUUUUUAAAUUUUUUCAAAAAAUAUUCAAAUAAGACGGACGGUGAAAGUUGAGCGUAAAAAACUAUGGUUAUACUUGAA
rfam:Oryza glumipatula chromosome 9, whole genome shotgun sequence.